rnacentral:tRNA from 1 species
GGAGCAAUCGCCUAGUGGUUAUGGCGGAGAUUUACUACCUGCUAGUCUGUCUCUGGGCUACGCCCUCGGGAGUUCGAAUCUCCCUUGCUCCU